GGACUACCAGGGUUUCUAAUCCUGUUUGCUCCCCACGCUGUCGCGCCUCAGCGUCAGCAACGGCCCAGCAGAACGCCUUCGCCACUGGUAUUCUUCCCGAUCUCUACGCAUUCCACCGCUACACCGGGAAUUCCAUCUGCCUCUACCGUGCUCGAGCCCGUCAGUCUGACCGGCAGCCCCGGAGUUGAGCCCCGGGAUUUCACCAGCCACUUAGCGAGCCGCCUACGCGCCCUUUACGCCCAGUGAUUCCGGACAACGCUCGCACCCUCCGUAUUACCGCGGCGGCUGGCAC
rnacentral:rRNA from 1 species